AUGCAGACGACGAGCUUCGGGUCCUUGAACUCAUCGGUCGUGGAUGGUUUGGAUGCCGAGGUCGAUGGGAUGGGGAUUGUGGAGCUUGUCUUGAAGUACCAUUACCCGGACAAAUCCUUUUCCGGCUUGGAAUCGAGGUCCAAGCAUCGAUGCCCUGGUCAUGGGCUAGUUCCUGCUCGUCGGGUGGCUUGGGUAGAGUCUAGCACUGGCCGGUGUUUUUUAGGAUGCCCACUUGAUUUACCAGAUGAGUGUAAGUGGGUGGUUUGGGUUGAACCUCCUCCUCCACUGUGUGUGGCCCUUGCAUUUGAAGGUCUACAUGCAGAGGUUGAACACAGCUGGAUCAAGUCUCACAAAUUGCAGAUGGAAAAUAUGGAGCUGGCAAAAAAUAACUGUGCUUUGAAGAAGAAACUGAAGAGGAGAGAUGAGAUGCUCAAUGUUUGGGCAGUGUUCUUUGCUGGAUUUGUUGUAUGUGUUGUCCUUGCGGCAUUUUCAAGCCAGUAA
rnacentral:rRNA from 1 species